rnacentral:sRNA from 1 species
CUCUUUAGGGGGAUAGAGAUGGGAAAGGAGCAUGGCCCAGCUGGGUGUACUAGCUCUCCCUCCGCUGCACUUCUGGAACCUUUCAUGUAAGGGCUUCAGGAUAAGGGGGUUUCAUAGCUUUAGGCUCUUAUGGACAUUUGGACCAUUUGCUUCAUAAUCAUUUUGAACUGUUUCCUUAGGCUCUUUAUUGAGAAACUACCAAAGCAUCGAGAUUACAAAUCUGCUGUCAUUCCUGAAAAGAAAGACACAGUAAAGGUGGGUCUUCACUUUCAUUGUUGCCCAUCUAAAAGCUUGAGAGCAGCACAGACUGACUUCAAGAUAAAAGUAGUAGUCUCUGCAUCUGAGUACCAGAUCCUGCAAUAGGAGAUAAGGCCAUUUCACCAGAACAAUUCUGAAGUAGCAGAAAUUAAAGGAGAUUGCGUUUCCCAAAGCAGAAGAGCUGAAGGCAGAGCUGUUAAAACGAUAUACCAAAGAAUACACAGAAUAUAAUGAAGAAAAGAAGAAGGAAGCAGAGGAAUUGGCCCGGAACAUGGCCAUCCAGCAAGAGCUGGAAAAGGAAAAACAGAGGGUAGCACAACAGAAGCAGCAGCAAUUGGAACAGGAACAGUUCCAUGCCUUCGAGGAGAUGAUCCGGAACCAGGAGCUAGAAAAAGAGCGACUGAAAAUUGUACAGGAGUUUGGGAAGGUGGACCCUGGCCUAGGUGGCCCGCUAGUGCCUGACUUGGAGAAGCCCUCCUUAGAUGUGUUCCCCACCUCACCAGUCUCAUCCAUACAGCCUUCAGACUGUCACACAACUGUAAGGCCAGCUAAGCCACCUGUGGUGGACAGGUCCUUGAAACCUGGAGCACUGAGCAACUCAGAAAGUAUUCCCACAAUCGAUGGAUUGCGCCAUGUGGUGGUGCCUGGGCGGCUGUGCCCACAGUUUCUCCAGUUAGCCAGUGCCAACACUGCCCGG